UGAUACUCUCCAACUGCUAAACCUCUGAAAACUUCCUAUAACACUACUUUAAAGUUUAACCUUGUCGUGUCUUUUCUGUUCUUUUUUUUUUCUUCAGUCAUUCUUUGGGUCAAGAAUCAUUUCUAUUUUCAUAUCAAGAUAAAACCCUUUUAAGGGUUUAGUCCAAAGUAGAAUUUUGUUUGGUUAAUUAGGCUAAACUUGAACAUGAACGGAGAGGAGUUGACAGAGCAAGAAACUGCUUUGUAUGAUCGCCAAAUUAGGGUUUGGGGUGCUGAUGCUCAACGAAGACUAAGCAAAUCCCACAUAUUGGUUUAUGGAAUGAAGGGCACUAUUGCUGAGGUAUUUGCUACUGCAACCUUAAAACUCACCAAAAAUGUGUCCUUUUUUAUGUUGAUAAGGGCUGUGUCUGAAGAAGCGUUGUCUGCUAAUUUUUUGAUACCCCCUGAUGAAAGUGUUUGCAGUGGGAAAACCCUUGCUGAGCUUUGCUGUGAUUCUUUGAGAGAAUUUAACCCCAUGGUUCGUGUUUCGGUUGAAAAAGGUGAUUUGGCAAGCUUGGGUGCGGAAUUCUUUGAGAAGUUUGAUGUUGUAGUUAUCAGUUGCUGCUCGCUAGCCUCCAAAAAAUUAAUCAAUGAAAAGUGCCGGAAGUUAUCAAAGCGUGUAUCUUUUUAUGCAGUUGACUGUAGAGAUUGUUGUGGUGAGAUCUUUGUUGAUUUGCAGAAGUACAAUUAUGCAAAGAAAAAGACAGAUGGAGCUACUGAAUGUGAACUGCAAUAUCCAAGUUUUCAGGAAGCUAUUUCAGUGCCUUGGAGAUCACUUCCCCGGAAAGUCUCAAAGCUUUAUUUUGCUAUGAGAGUGAUUGAAAGGUUUGAAGAGGCUGAAGGACGCAAGCCAGGAGAAAUUUAUAUCGAGGACCUUCCUGCUGUUCUAAAGCUGAAAAAGGAACUUUGUGAGGCACAGUCAGUAAAUGAAUCUCACAUUCCGGAUACCCUCCUCGAAAGAUUGGUUAUGGGUGCAAAAGAGUUCCCUCCAGUUUGUGCCAUUAUUGGAGGAACACUUGGACAGGAGGUAAUCAAAGCAAUAUCAAGCAAAGGGGAUCCCCUCAAGAAUUUCUUCUUCUUUGAUGCUACGGAUGGGAAAGGCAUGAUAGAGGACAUAUCAAACCCUAACCUGGAAAGCUGAUCAUGUUUAGAGAAGCUUUAUGUACUAAAAUUAUGUGCUGGAUGCAAUAAUGGGCAUUCAAUACUUUUAUUUUUUUUACUAUACACUGUUGAUAAUGAUUUGCAGGUGGUCUUCACCAUAGAUUGUUGCUAAUCAAAACCAUCGACUUCUAGCUGUUCAUGCUCGAAUAUGCUCAACUAACCAAUCUAUGGCAGCAGCAUGAGUGCUGUAUAUAGCUUGUUU